rnacentral:rRNA from 1 species
AAAUAGAUACCCUGGUAGUCCACGCUGUAAACGAUCAAUACUAGGUGUGCGGGGGACUGACCCCCUGCGUGCCGGAGUUAACACAAUAAGUAUUGCACCUGGGGAGUACGAUCGCAAGGUUGAAACUCAAAGGAAUUGACGGGGGCCCGCACAAGCGGUGGAGCAUGUGGUUUAAUUCGAAGCAACGCGAAGAACCUUACCAGGUCUUGACAUCCCGUUGACCACUGUAGAGAUAUGGUUUUCCCCUCGGGGACAACGGUGACAGGUGGUGCAUGGUUGUCGUCAGCUAGUGUCGUGAGAUGUUGGGUUAAGUCCCGCAACGAGCGCAACCCUUAUCCUUAGUUGCUAGCAGUAAGAUGAGCACUCUAGGGAGACUGCCGGGGACAACUCGGAGGAAGGUGGGGAUGACGUCAAAUCAUCAUGCCCCUUAUGACCUGGGCUACACACGUGCUACAAUGGACGAUACAAAACGGUUGCCAACUCGCGAGAGGGAGCUAAUCCGAUAAAAGUCGUUCUCAGUUCGGAUUGUAGG